AACGCUGGCGGCGUGCCUAACACAUGCAAGUCGAACGGUAACAGGAAGAAGCUUGCUUCUUUGCUGACGAGUGGCGGACGGGUGAGUAAUGUCUGGGAAACUGCCUGAUGGAGGGGGAUAACUACUGGAAACGGUAGCUAAUACCGCAUAACGUCGCAAGACCAAAGAGGGGGACCUUCGGGCCUCUUGCCAUCGGAUGUGCCCAGAUGGGAUUAGCUAGUAGGUGGGGUAACGGCUCACCUAGGCGACGAUCCCUAGCUGGUCUGAGAGGAUGACCAGCCACACUGGAACUGAGACACGGUCCAGACUCCUACGGGAGGCAGCAGUGGGGAAUAUUGCACAAUGGGCGCAAGCCUGAUGCAGCCAUGCCGCGUGUAUGAAGAAGGCCUUCGGGUUGUAAAGUACUUUCAGCGGGGAGGAAGGGAGUAAAGUUAAUACCUUUGCUCAUUGACGUUACCCGCAGAAGAAGCACCGGCUAACUCCGUG
rnacentral:rRNA from 1 species